rnacentral:rRNA from 1 species
CCCUUAGAUGUUCUGGGCCGCACGCGCGCUACACUGAUGCAUUCAACGAGCCUAUCCUUGACCGACAGGUCCGGGUAAUCUUUGAAUCUGCAUCGUGACGGGGAUAGAUUAUUGCAAUUAUUAAUCUUCAACGAGGAAUGCCUAGUAGGCGCAAGUCAUCAGCUUGCGUCGAUUACGUCCCUGCCCUUUGUACACACCGCCCGUCGCACCUACCGAUUGAAUGACUCGGUGAAAAAUUGGGACCGUGAGUCUGUUUGCUUCAUUGCGAGUGGAUUGAUGGGAACUUUUUUAAACCUCGCCAUUUAGAGGAAGGUGAAGUCGUAACA